GAGAAAACAUAGACCCUAAGCAGCAAACUCAGUCACUUUCAAGAUCCCAAACGACCCUAUCGAAUUCCUUCUUCACCAUCCUCUUCAACCAAAACACAGCAAUCAGCCACAACCAUCUUCUUCACACCAAGAAGUAGCCAUAGAUAAGUCUUAGGAGCUUCGACCUAGUAUGGUAAAACCAUGAACAACCGCACACCAAACGACCACAGUCUGUCUCCUCCAGACCAGUAAGAUUCAGAACACUGACCAGCCGACCACCAGCCACGACGCUCAUAUCCCUCUCGCUGAAAAACACUUAUACACAGCCCCAC
rnacentral:lncRNA from 1 species